UUGCGUAUACGUUUCUCUUGCGAAUGACUUCAAGAAUCGAGCCACUGGCCUAAGUCGUCUUUUAGUCGUCUUUUCGUCGACUAUAAGCUCUACCUAAAAGAUGUUCAUGAUGAAAAUUUGUCAUCUUUUAGUUGUCUGUUAGACGUCUUUGUGCUGUCCGGGUGGAUUCCUUUGUUUUUACUGACUUUUCGAUCUUCGAAGCAAGAGGCUGUUGGAGCGACGCCGGCAGAAAUGUAUUCUGGUCAGGACCUUCGUCUGCUUUUGGAUCUUUUUAGGGGUUGUUCACCUUUAAAAGUGGAAGAGGAGGGAGAAGAUACGUUCGAGUUGGGAGUACUGGGACUGCGUUUCUCACGGUUUUUGACCGUGGUUUUUCCGUAGGACAUAGGGCGAAUGCCGAGACAGGGGACAGGGAGCUUAAAGAGCGUAGAGUCCACGGAAGCUAAUUUCCUCCUCCGUGAUCCCAAAGAAAGAAGAAAGAAGCGCUCAAGACCCGGCGCAAGGGGGAGCAUCCCAGAUGCGCCCAGAUCGAAACAGCAGGACACCACCAAUCAGAUUGCUGAGUUAGUUAAAGUUGGGAUAAAUUUAUAGAAUUUGAUUGAUGGUAUUUCGAUCUGUGCGCAUCUGGGACUCGCGCAAAAAAGCAAGAAGCGUUCAAGGCUCAAGAUGCAAGAGCACAGGCAGCGGAAACUGGAAUCGGGCGCGCGAAUCUCCGUGCGGUCUGGCCAGCUCUUCGCGGGAGAAUGUUCGAGGGGAUCUAGUUGGAGGGAGACUUUUGUGGCCCGGUAACCCGUUGCAGCAGCACAGGGAGGGCAACAAAUCGUAGGACCCUGUGAAACCUUCUUUGAAGAACGCGACAAACUGCCUCUCGGAACCAUGGUGGACGUAUAAAAGGUGAGGGGGAUAAUGAAUUUGGGGAAUAAUAAAAGUAUAUUUUUAUAAUAUACAUGGUUUAUUCUAUCAAAAUAAUCCUUUUUCAGGCCUAUCAUUUGGUUUUAGAAAAUUUAAAUGAGUAGAUAAAUAAGAGAUUAAGUGGUCUAUAUUUAGGGUAUGAGCCUAAUAGCUUAUGUUAGCUUACUUAUUUUAUUAUUUUUAUUUUAUGUAUUUAAAAAAAUUAGUUUUUAAGUAUUAUAUAUUUGUAUGUGAUAGGGGGAAAAUUAAAGGGAGGUUUUGAUUAAUAGAUUGAUUAAAUUUUAGUUUAAUAAAAAUAAUUCAUUUACAUUGAGAUUUUAAAGGAAAUUAAAAAAUUUCCUUUAAAAUUGCGCAUAAUGGCGGCAUGUGGAGUGGAACCGAAAUUUCAACCAAUCAGAUUUUACCCAUUUAGAAACGCGCGUAUUUAAAACGUAAA